rnacentral:rRNA from 1 species
UACGUAGGUCCCGAGCGUUGUCCGGAUUUAUUGGGCGUAAAGCGAGCGCAGGUGGUUUAUUAAGUCUGGUGUAAAAGGCAGUGGCUCAACCAUUGUAUGCAUUGGAAACUGGUAGACUUGAGUGCAGGAGAGGAGAGUGGAAUUCCAUGUGUAGCGGCGAAAUGCGUAGAUAUAUGGGGGAACACCGGUGGCGAAAGCGGCUCUCUGGCCUGUAACUGACACUGAGGCUCGAAAGCGUGGGGAGCAAACAGG